CAGCUUCUUAAAAAGUCAACCGAUGUUGUAAUUGGUUCUGAAGGCGGAAAUGCUCUUGACGUGUAAUGUGACGAGAACUGUAAACAAAAGUAUGGUAAAUGUUUUGCUAGCCUAGGAAAGAAGGAAUGCUGUCUCAAGAGUAUUUUCCUUGAGUAAGAGCUCCAGGAUGUUGUGUGAAAUCCUGCUGACAUCGCUAUGGCUGCUGUUUGUUAUCUUCUGGCUGGAGUUAAUAAGCCUGUGGUUGUUUCUGUCCAUGUUCUUCCAGGACCGGGCAUUUUACCACUGGGGGGAUGGGGUGUUUACCGAUGAUCCUGGGCAGAUGAUCUACAUGUUGAGCCGAGCUGACACCCAGACAGAGAUGCAAACCUGAGAUGGAGAAAAAAAAACAAAAAAACAAAAAAAAAAACAAGAAGUCCA